CAGCAGCCACGGUAAUACGAAGGGGGCUAGCGUUGUUCGGAAUUACUGGGCGUAAAGCGCACGUAGGCGGACAUUUAAGUCAGGGGUGAAAUCCCGGGGCUCAACCCCGGAACUGCCUUUGAUACUGGGUGUCUAGAGUAUGGAAGAGGUGAGUGGAAUUCCGAGUGUAGAGGUGAAAUUCGUAGAUAUUCGGAGGAACACCAGUGGCGAAGGCGGCUCACUGGUCCAUUACUGACGCUGAGGUGCGAAAGCGUGGGGAGCAAACAGGAUUAGAUACCCCAGUAGUCCCUGUCUCUUAUAA
rnacentral:rRNA from 1 species